rnacentral:tRNA from 1 species
UGGGGAAUAGUCUAGCGGUAGGACACGUGGCCCUGGACCACGAAGGCCAGGUUCGAAUCCUGGUUCCCCAGCCA